UCCUCCCCAUCCUUCUCCCGCAACACCCUACAGCCUCACUGCUCAGACUCUGGUCCUCAGAUGGACAGCAUGGGUGCCCCCCAGGAGCCUGUGAGAAAAUGCGGACUCUCAGGCCGCACCCCAGCCCUGCUGCGUCAGGGCCUGCAGUUCAACAAGCCCCCCGGGUGACUCGUGCACUUCUCUAAUUACAGGGUAAUCAGUUCAUUAAAGUGGCAAACUGCAGCCUCACCUGUAGCCCCUCUGCUGAUUGCUGACUCUGCUUUCAAUUUGCCCUGCUUUCUUCCCAAGGGUUUUGUUUUUAUUUUAAUUUUAUUUUAUAUUGGCGUUUAGUUGGUUUACAAUGUUAUGUUGGCUUCAGGUGUACAGCAAAGUGAUUCAGUUAUACACAUACCCACUCUUUUUCGAAUUCUUUUUUCCAUGUAGAGUAUUGCAGAACAUUGAGUAGAGUUCCCUGGAUUCAAUGUUAAUCCCAAACUCCUAAUCUGGCAAGGGUCACCAAGAGGAGGGGACAGCCCUUGCAAAGAUGACCAGAGGGAACCAGGAGGUGGGGGGUGGGUGUGUCUGUGUGUCUGCAUUGAACAGACAGCGGCGGUUCCAGGGAAGGGCAUCGCCGAGGUCAGGAGGGGGCUGAGGUGGUGUGGCUCAGACAGGGCUUCUGUGGGUCUGCUGUAAACACUGAAGCGAGUGAAGUCAAAGGCUGGACCAGGCCACUGUUUUCUAGGAGCGGGCUCUGAAGUCAGAAAGCCUGGGUCCAGAUUCUGACUCCACUUCCCACGUGCUGUUUUAUUGCGAGCAUCCGAUCUGUGCCUCAGUUUCCUUACCCUGCAAAUGGAGGCCACAGCGGUGCUUCCGUCGUUUGAGCGGAUGUGAGAUUAAAUGAGGGAAUCCGUGGAAAGUACUGGGAAGCGUUCCUGGCGUGUAAGGGGCCAGCUGGAGCCCAAGGCCAGGUGGCCCACUGCCUUGAGCCUCAGCUUCCUCCGCGGCGGUGAGGGCCGCCCUCUCCUGCAGGGCUGCUUGUGAAUGUUCAGCAGCCAGCAGACGGGCAUGUGCCUGGCCCUCUGCCUGGCAGGCUUGGCUCCUCUCGUGGAGCUGGCGCUGUAGUGGGGGAGACGGAAAAAGCAUAAACAGACAGCACGGUUGCAGAGAUAGUGCUAAGUACCCCGAGAAAUACCAGACAAGAUGGGAGGGGACAGGAUGAUGGCGGAGGGGACCCUGCUUCUGUUUGGUGGUCAGAGAAGACUUUUCUGCAGCGACGUUUGAGUCGAGAUCUCAGAGCCAAGGAAUCGGCAGAGACGGGGAAGGAGUGUUCUGGCCGGAGGAACAGCAUGUGCAGAGGCCCUGAGAUGCAGUCGGAGCCCUAGGAAUCUGUAAUGGGCUUCCUUGCAGCCCUCUGGAAGGGGGCAUCUACCACGUGGAAAGGCAGAGGCUGGGAGGUGCGGACAGCCCUGGGAGGUCCUGGCCUGCCCAAGGAGGUGUGGGCCGAAGUGCAUCACUCACCCUGGGGGCAGGCCCGUUACCCUUCAGUCCUGACCGUGAGCAGGAGCUGCUGACGGGUCUUCAACGCCCCCCUGGGUGUGUGCUCUGUCGUGUCAGACUCUUUUCAACCCCCUGGACUGUGGGCCAUGAGGCCUCUCUGUCCAUGGGAUUUCCUGGGCAAGAAUACUGCAGUGGGUUACCAUUUCCUGCUCUGGGGGAUCUUCCUGACCCAGGAUUGGAUUCACAUCUCCCGCAUCUCCUGCACUGGCAGGUGUGGUCUUUACUGCUGGGCCACCAGGGAGGCCCGGGCCUCUGUAGUGAACGUACCAAAUCCUCACCACGAGGCCACCAGGGAACGCCCCUAAAAAUAUUUUUGUUUAAAACAGUAAAGAAAAAAAUUAAAUAUGUGUUUCGUGUAUACCCAGUAACAGCAAAAUUCAUGAAGGCAGCAUUAAACAUUUUUUUUUAUUGGAGUAUAGUUGAUUUACAGUGUUUUAUGUUAAUUUCUUCUGUACAGCAAAUGCUCAGUCAUCCAUACGUAUACAUUCUUUCUCACUUUCUUUC